GACGAACGCUAGCGGCAGGCUUAAUACAUGCAAGUCGUGGGGCAGCAUGAAUGUAGCAAUACAUUUGAUGGCGACCGGCAAACGGGUGCGGAACACGUACACAACCUUCCUAUAAGUGGGGAAUAGCCCAGAGAAAUUUGGAUUAAUACCCCGUAACAUAAUGAUGUGGCAUCACAUUAUUAUUAUAGCUACGGCGCUUAUUGAUGGGUGUGCGGCUGAUUAGAUAGUUGGCGGGGUAACGGCCCACCAAGUCUACGAUCAGUAGCUGAUGUGAGAGAAUGGUCAGCCACACGGGCACUGAGACACGGGCCCGACUCCUACGGGAGGCAGCAGUAAGGAAUAUUGGUCAAUGGACGCAAGUCUGAACUAGCCAUGCCGCGUGAAGGAUUAAGGUCCUCUGGAUUGUAAACUUCUUUUAUCUGGGACGAAAAAAGGCGAUUCUUCGUCACUUGACGGUACCAGAUGAAUAAGCACCGGCUAACUCCGUGCCAGCCGCCGCAGUAACAC
rnacentral:rRNA from 1 species